UUCAGAUGGCGACCGGCGCACGGGUGCGUAACGCGUAUGCGACCUACCUUAUACAGGGAGAUAACCUUUCGAAAGAGAGACUAAAAUCCCAUAGUAUUGUUGAGGGGCAUCCCUUAAUAAUUAAAUCUUUGGAGGUAUAAGAUGGGCAUGCGUAGCAUUAGUUAGAUGGUGAGGUAACGGCUCACCAUGACUACGAUGCUUAGGGGUUCUGAGAGGAAGGUCCCCCACACUGGUACUGAGACACGGACCAGACUCCUACGGGAGGCAGCAGUGAGGAAUAUUGGUCAAUGGUCGGAAGACUGAACCAGCCAUGCCGCGUGCAGGAAGAAUGUCUUAUGGAUUGUAAACUGCUUUUGUAUGGGAAUAAUAAUAACUUUGCGAAGUUAGAUGCAGGUACCAUACGAAUAAGGAUCGGCUAACUCCGUGCCAGCAGCCGCGGUAAUACGGAGGAUUCGAGCGUUAUCCGGAUUUAUUGGGUUUAAAGGGUGCGUAGGUGGCAUCAUAAGUCGAUGGUGAAAGACUUGAGCUUAACUCAGGCGAGCCGUUGAUACUGUGGAGCUAGAACAUAGAUGGAGUAGGCGGAAUGAAUCAUGUAGCGGUGACAUGCAUAGAUAUGAUUCAGAACACCGAUCGCGAAGGCAGCUUACUAAGCUAUAGUUGACGCUGAGGCACGAAAGCGUGGGGAUCGAACAGGAUUAGA
rnacentral:rRNA from 1 species